UUGAUUCAUUUGUUUAUGAUUCCACUCAGACAUGCUAUAAAAAAGAUACAAGAGUUUGGGUCCCCCGGCGGCCGCUGGUCCAGUCCGCGUCCGGCUGGGGCGAGUCCGCCGAAGCAACAAUAGGUAGGUUCACAUAAGGGUUAGGGAGUUGAAAACUCGGUAAUGAUCCCUCCGCUGGUUCACCAACGGAGA
rnacentral:misc_RNA from 1 species